GCGAGCGUGGCGAAAUUGGUAGACGCAACAGACUUAAAAUCUGUCGGCUUCGGUCUUGCGGGUUCGACCCCCGCCGCUCGCACCA
rnacentral:tRNA from 1 species